rnacentral:rRNA from 1 species
UUAGAUACCCUGGUAGUCCACGCCGUAAACGAUGUCAACUAGUUGUUCGUGUCAUAAACGAUGUGAGUAACGCAGCUAACGCACUAAGUUGACCGCCUGGGGAGUACGGCCGCAAGGUUAAAACUCAAAUGAAUUGACGGGGGCCCGCACAAGCGGUGGAGCAUGUGGUUUAAUUCGAUGCAACGCGAAGAACCUUACCAUCCCUUGACAUCCAGUGAAUUUUCUAGAGAUAGAUAAGUGCCUUCGGGAACACUGAGACAGGUGCUGCAUGGCUGUCGUCAGCUCGUGUUGUGAGAUGUUGGGUUAAGUCCCGCAACGAGCGCAACCCUUAUCCUUAGUUGCCAGCGCGUAAAGGCGGGAACUCUGGGGAGACUGCCGGUGAUAAACCGGAGGAAGGUGGGGACGACGUCAAGUCAUCAUGGCCCUUACGGGAUGGGCUACACACGUGCUACAAUGGCGCGUACAAUGGGAAGCUAACUCGCGAGAGUGUGCGGAUCUCAAAAAGCGCGUCGUAGUCCGGAUUGGAGUCUGCAACUCGACUCCAUGAAGUCGGAAUCGCUAGUAAUCGUGGAUCAGAAUGCCACGGUGAAUACGUUUCCCGGGCCUUGUACACACCCGCCC